GCCAGGGUAGCUCAGUCGGUGAGAGCGCGGCAUUCAUAACGCCGAGGUCGAGGGUCCGAGUCCCUCCCCUGGCACAA
rnacentral:tRNA from 2 species